AGCGAACGCUGGCGGCAGGCCUAACACAUGCAAGUCGAACGCACCUUCGGGUGAGUGGCGGACGGGUGAGUAACACGUGGGAACGUACCUUUUGGUUCGGAAUAACGCAGGGAAACUUGUGCUAAUACCGAAUGUGCCCUUCGGGGGAAAGAUUUAUCGCCAUUAGAGCGGCCCGCGUUAGAUUAGCUAGUUGGUAGGGU
rnacentral:rRNA from 1 species